CCUACGGGAGGCUGCAGUGAGGAAUAUUGGUCAAUGGACGAGAGUCUGAACCAGCCAAGUAGCGUGAAGGAUGACUGCCCUGUGGGUUGUAAACUUCUUUUAUAUGGGAAUAAAACGUUCCACGUGUGGGAUUUUGUAUGUACCAUAUGAAUAAGGAUCGGCUAACUCCGUGCCAGCAGCCGCGGUAAUACGGAGGAUCCGAGCGUUAUCCGGAUUUAUUGGGUUUAAAGGGAGCGUAGGUGGAUUGUUAAGUCAGUUGUGAAAGUUUGCGGCUCAACCGUAAAAUUGCAGUUGAAACUGGCAGUCUUGAGUACAGUAGAGGUGGGCGGAAUUCGUGGUGUAGCGGUGAAAUGCUUAGAUAUCACGAAGAACUCCGAUUGCGAAGGCAGUUCACUGGACUGCAACUGACACUGAGGCUCGAAAGUGUGGGUAUCAAACAGGAUGAGAUACCCUAGUAGUC
rnacentral:rRNA from 1 species